AGACUGUCAGGAAAAGCUGUUUUUAAAAAAAUAUUAAAAACCACAUGAGAAUAAAAAAUCAGUUUGGCAGGAAACCUGAAGAAUAUUUGAUAAAAGUGGUUUCUGUUAGUCUUGGCCCAAAGAAAACGUCUUAGCUCUUUGCUAGAACCGGGCAGCGUGGUGGAAAAAAAAAGAUGCAGUGUCUCCUUCUCUUGCCUAAUCUUUUGGCAGACAAAUGGAUCAUUCUGACAUCGUGUUAGAAGUGUCAGCCUUGUAUUGGACACCCCAAAGAUACUGUACUUUAUGGUGGCAUUACUUCUGGGCAUUGUUGCUGCUUAAGGAAGAGCUGCCAGUCUGCUUUGUAACAUUGUUGGGGCAGAGUUCAGCCGCCUCUACAGCAGUUCCACUUCCCGGAGGGGGCAAAAAGGAAAGCCGGAGGCAGAGCUGUGCGGUGUGGUUGACAAGGGCCUGGUUGUCAUUAUUCUCUCACGCCAGUGUGAAAGAGGGGAGGAAUGCUGUUUCCUGA
rnacentral:lncRNA from 1 species